rnacentral:rRNA from 1 species
UACGAAGGGUGCAAGCGUUACUCGGAAUUACUGGGCGUAAAGCGUGCGUAGGUGGUGAGUUAAGUCUGUCGUGAAAGUCCAGGGCUCAACCCUGGAAGGCCGGUGGAAACUGUCGGGCUAGAGUCCGGAAGAGGCGAGUGGAAUUCCCGGUGUAGCGGUGAAAUGCGCAGAUAUCAGGAGGAACACCGAUGGCGAAGGCAGGUCUCUGGGCCAUUACUGACACUGAGAAGCGAAAGCAUGGGUAGCAAACAGG